GGGGGACAGGGAGGGAGAGCAGGAGCAGUGGCGCACCUCCCCUCAAACUCAGCGAUACACGCAGACGCACCACACACAGACCACACAUACACACACACACACACCACACACACCACACAUACACAUACACCACACACUGACCCUCCACACCACACACGCCGCACAGACCACACAUACACACACACACCACACACACACCACACACACCACACAUACACACACACACCACACACUGACCCUCCACACCACACACACGCCACACAGACCACACAUUACACACACACGCCACACACACACACCACACACUGACCCCCCCACACCACACACACGCCACACAGGCCACACAUACACACACCACACACACACACACACCACACACCACACACACACACCACACACUGACCCUCCACACCACACACACGCCACACAGACCACACACACACACACACACACCACACACUGACCCCCCCACACCACACACAUGCCACACAGGCCACACAUACACACACACACACCACACACAGGCCACACAAACACACACCACACACACACACACACACACCACACUGACCCCCCACACCACACACACGCCACACAGACCACACACACACACCACACGCACACACACCACACACAGCUUCUCUACCCCUCCUGGUCAGGGCAGCACCUAUAGGUGGGUGGAGAGAGGACGUGCACCUGCAGACACAGCGGCCCCAUCCAGACACUGGAUGAAUUCUUCCCUGACCUCACACAAAGCUGCGCAGAGACACUGCCGAACACGCUGACACAGAGCACAGGGCACCCAGAUAGUCCCAGACACAACACGAAAGGACCUGGUGGCACUCCUGUGGCCUCCUCCCGGCACACGGACGCACAUACACACCACUCCACGUGGACACACAACACAAACAUGGGCUUCUGCACAUUUCAACCCCUACACACUGGGACCACUUACAGCUCUGGGACAGGACCAGGGACCUGCCCCACCUGGCUC
rnacentral:lncRNA from 10 species